rnacentral:rRNA from 1 species
GCAUAUCAAUAAGCGGAGGAAAAGAAACUAACAAGGAUUCCCCUAGUAACGGCGAGUGAAGCGGGAAGAGCUCAAAUUUGAAAUCUGGCAGUCUUCGAUUGUCCGAGUUGUAAUCUAUAGAGGCGUUUUCCGUGCCGGACCGUGUCCAAGUCUCCUGGAAAGGAGUAUCAAAGAGGGUGAUAAUCCCGUACUUAACACGACCACCGGUGCUCUGUGAUACGUCUUCUACGAGUCGAGUUGUUUGGGAAUGCAGCUCAAAAUGGGUGGUGAAUUCCAUCUAAAGCUAAAUAUUGGUGAGAGACCGAUAGCGAACAAGUACCGUGAGGGAAAGAUGAAAAGCACUUUGGAAAGAGAGUUAAACAGUACGUGAAAUUGUUGAAAGGGAAACGACUGAAGUCAGUCGUGUUCUUUGGAUUCAGCCAGUUCUGCUGGUCUACUUCCUUGGAACGGGUCAACAUCAGUUUUGCCCGGUGGAUAAAGGUAGUAGGAAUGUGACUUCUCCGGAAGUGUUAUAGCCUAUUAUCACAUACACUGGGUGAGACUGAGGACUGCAGCUCGCCUUUAUGGCCGGCCUUCGGGCACGUUCGAGCUUAGGAUGUUGACAUAAUGGCUUUAAACGACCCGUCUUGAAACACGGACC